GGAUUGAUCACCAUCUUCAUGAUGAUUUUAUGAUCGAAGGUAUUUAAAAAUUAAAUACAUGUCUCUAAUUCUAAACUCUUUGAGAAUAUAUAUCAAAAGUUAAUUUCAUGGAUGAUUCAAGGACACAUCAUACUUGAAUGAAAAAUAAAUUUAUCUUUUUAUUAAUCAAAUCAAUAUAUUAAGUAUAAAAUUAUGUCCUAGAUUUAUUAUAAUGUGUUAGC
rnacentral:lncRNA from 1 species